GGGGGUGUAAUGGAUUCGACGGAGUGAGUAAAAUCGCAGGCUGCAUGCCGAGUUUGAGCGAUGAACUCGUAAAUCAUCAUCAUGCAAUUAAAUGUAGUUGACAACAACUAUUCUUAUAGCUUAGCUGCGUAACGCAGCUUAGCCGUUCCUUCAGCUUCUUGCCUGUCAGUGCUGAAUGGAGCGCCGACUAUGACAGGAUAGCGUGGGUUUCGCUGACUGUCGAACCUGCGUAAAACUUUAACAGUCUAGUCUGAAGUUGCCUGUUGCCGGGCGAUGCUUCAGGCGAACCUUAAACGGCAACUAAGCAUGUAGAUGCUUGAACGAUAUACCAUUUCGGACCGGGGUUCGAUUCCCCGCACCUCCACAA
rnacentral:tmRNA from 1 species